rfam:Daedalea quercina L-15889 unplaced genomic scaffold DAEQTscaffold_43, whole genome shotgun sequence.
GCCCGCCUAGCUCAAUCGGAUAGAGCGUCAGACUCUUAAGGCGUGGUGACUUGCGCAUUAGCGUAAUCUGAAGGCUGCGAGUUCGACCCUCGCGGUGGGCU